rnacentral:rRNA from 1 species
GACGAACGCUGGCGGCGUGCUUAACACAUGCAAGUCGAACGGAAAGACCCUGCUUUUGUGGUGUGCUCGAGUGGCGAACGUGUGAGUAACACGUGAGUAACCUGCCCUUGACUUUGGUAUAACUUCAGGACACUGGGUCUAAUACCGGAUAGGAGCUCCUGCUGCAUGGUGGGUGUUGGAAAGUUUUGGCGGUUGGGGAUGGACUCGCGGCUUAUCAGCUUGUUGGUGGGGUAGUGGCUUACCAAGGCGUUGACGGGUAGCCGGCCUGAGAGGGUGACCGGCCACAUUGGGACUGAGAAACGGCCCAGACUCCUACGGGAGGCAGCAGUGGGGAAUAUUGCACAAUGGGCGGAAGCCUGAUGCAGCAACGCCGCGUGAGGGAUGACGGCCUUCGGGUUGUAAACCGCUUUCGCCAGGGAAGAAGCGAGAGUGACGGUAAUGGGUAAAGAAGCACCGGCUAACUACGUG